CAGCAGGAAAGUACCAGGGCCAGGCCUCAGACCUGGAUUUUUUGACUCUGAGUGCUCUUUUUAUGUCAUCAGGCUGGCCAGGACGGUCUCCCCUGCCUACCGUCACCUGCCCCCUCUAGGCUUUUGAGCUAUCACUCCAGCAACCUGAGAGAAGUGGAGGGGCUGGGCCCACUCCUGGGCACCUUGUCUGGGGGUGCCAGUGCCUGGCUCCUGACUCCAGAAGUGGCUCCAAGGGGCUGGGUGGGAAGCAGGAGGCCAUUAGGACCCAGAAGCUCUCAGAGCAUCCUGCUCUGCCUCUCACCGAUCACUGCAGUGGUUCAGGCUUCAGCAGCCUUGGAGAAGCAUCAGCUGAGAGGAGCUAUCACAUGGGAGCCGGGAGCUGCUCAGCAAAGCCACGGUGGAGGGCACCAGCAAGUGCAGCACGGCAUGGUGGGCUGGAGUGCUGGCCCUGGAGCCAGGCCACCUGGCUGAGGACCUGGACCUUGCUACUAACUAACUGUGUGAAUUUUGAUGGCUUUAUGAGGAAACUGCAGUUCAGAAGCAUCACAGAGUUAAUAACUCCCAGACCUGGGACUGGAAACCAAACCUUAUGCUCCUUCUCCCCAACAGCUCCUGCCAUUCUGAGGAGACCAGAAACUAGGAAAUUUACAUAAGCAAUCUUAAACUGGGGCACUAUCCUGAAGCUCAGCUGGACCCUGGGAAAAGGAAACCGUGGAUUUAGAAUCUCUGGAUAACAGUCCUUGAAAGGGGAGAAGGGUGUGGAGAACAGAGGAAAGGAAGUGGAAAAGAAGGGGCUGGGCACCACUCAGAAGGUGGAGUGUUGAGUGGGCGAGGCUCCUGCAUCUCUCACUUUCCUGCUUCUUUGAAGUCACCAGGGUGGACUGGGAGCUAACUCCUGAGCCCUCAGUCACUGGCCUUGAAGGCUGGCAAUAAGAGCCUGCCCAAGAGGCUCCAGCAGGAGGCGCUCUCCCCUCCCUUCUCAACACACACAGAAAACUGGGAAGCCUGGGCCUGGGCUUGCCAACCCAGGGUCACUGGACUAGGAUGGGGGAUGGGCCUGUGAUAGGAGGUGCCCUGGGUGUCCUCUUUCGGCCCCAUGGAGUCCUCACCCAUCCCCCAGUCAUCAGGGAACUCUUCCACUCUAGGGAGGGUCCCUCAAACCCCAGGUCCUUCUACUGCCAGUGGAGUCCCAGAGGUGGGGCUGCGGGACGUGGCUUCAGAAUCCGUGGCCCUCUUCUUCAUGCUCCUGCUGGACUUGACCGCUGUGGCUGGCAAUGCUGCUGUGAUGGCUGUUAUCGCCAAGACACCCGCUCUCCGAAAAUUUGUCUUUGUCUUCCACCUCUGCCUGGUGGACCUGCUGGCCGCCCUGACCCUCAUGCCCCUGGCUAUGCUCUCCAGCUCUGCCCUCUUUGACCAUGACCUCUUUGGGGAGGUCGCCUGCCGCCUCUACUUGUUCCUGAGCGUAUGUUUUGUCAGCCUGGCCAUUCUCUCGGUGUCGGCCAUCAACGUGGAGCGCUACUAUUAUGUGGUCCACCCCAUGCGCUAUGAGGUGCGCAUGACACUAGGGCUGGUGGCCUCUGUUCUGGUGGGUGUGUGGGUAAAGGCCUUGGCCAUGGCUUCUGUGCCAGUGUUAGGAAGGGUCUCCCGGGAGGAAGGAGCUCCCAGUGUACCCCUAGGCUGCUCACUUCAAUGGAGCCACAGUGCCUACUGCCAGCUUUUUGUGGUGGUCUUUGCUGUCCUUUACUUCUUGUUGCCCCUGCUUCUCAUCCUUGUGGUCUACUGCAGCAUGUUCCGAGUAGCCCGUGUGGCUGCCAUGCAGCACGGACCGCUGCCCACGUGGAUGGAGACGCCCCGGCAACGCUCUGAGUCUCUCAGCAGCCGCUCCACUAUGGUCACCAGCUCGGGGGCGCCCCAGACCACCCCGCACCGGACGUUUGGGGGAGGGAAGGCAGCGGUGGUCCUCCUGGCCGUGGGAGGACAGUUCCUGCUCUGUUGGUUGCCCUACUUUUCCUUUCACCUCUAUGUUGCCCUAAGUGCUCAGCCCAUGUCGACUGGGCAGGUGGAGAAUGUGGUGACUUGGAUUGGCUACUUCUGCUUCACUUCCAACCCUUUCUUCUAUGGAUGUCUCAAUCGGCAGAUUCGGGGGGAGCUCAGCAAGCAGUUUGUCUGCUUUUUCAAGCAGGCUCCAGAGGAGGAGCUGAGGCUGCCGAGCCGGGAGGGCUCCAUUGAGGAGAACUUCCUGCAGUUUCUUCAGGCGACUGGCUGUCCCACGGAGUCCUGGGUUUCCCGACCCGUACCCAGCCCCAAGCAGGAGCCACCUGCUGUUGACUUUCGAAUUCCAGGCCAGAUAGCCGAGGAGACCUCUGAGUUUCUGGAGCAACAGCUCACCAGCGACAUCAUCAUGUCGGACAGCUACCUCCGUCCUGCCCCCUCACCGCGACUGGAGUCAUGAUGGGCUGAUGGACACUUGGAGGGAGAUGGGGCUGGGGGCUGGUUAUGACUGCAAGGAACUCCUUGUGGGACCACCUUUUCCCAGCUAGCCGGGGCUGGGGUCUCUGCACACAGCUUUUGCUUAGUGUUUUCUGGGUCAGGAGCAGAGCCAACAGGAUGGAUGAGUGGCAAAAGCCUUGGACACAGCUUUGACCCUUGACUACUGGGGGAGGGAACCUGGUGAGAUGGUGACGAGAAUAAAGGGUCGUGAAGAACUGGCCUCCCUGAUCUCUCUCCUCAUGGCAGUGACCCAUCGCCAAUCCCCUGGACAAUCGGGUACAAGAGACUAACGUUGGGAACUGGAAAGGUGGGGUUUCCAUGGUCCAUUAAAUGCCUCCCCUACUCCCAUUCAUCGCUCUCAAAAUUAGCUUCAGUGACAAAGACCUAAAUCUCUCUCCUAUCUGUAGCCCGGGGUUGGAGAGGCAGAGGAGUUGGGCUCAACUGUUCACUGAUUGAUACUGUAGGCACUGUGUUGGUUGUUACUGGUGGGGGUAUAUUCAAGGGAGAGGGAAUAACUGCAAACUGGACAGGAUUCCCAUCUGGGACUACCUGUCCAUCCACUUCCCUCAAUUCAAUCAGGUAACAUUAAAGGGGUCGAGGCAGGACCAGACGGUGGUGUGACCUGUAUUUGAAAAAAUUCCGGGCUCACUGAGCUUCAAAGGGGAUGAUGGGCUGGUGGGAAUGGGAUAGUUUCCCCUUUGA